UACAGGUUAGUGUACAGAGCACAUAGGCCUUUGACGCCUAAAGAUAAAGUGCAAUUCUUUAACCUAUAA
rnacentral:tRNA from 1 species